UCUUUUUCGUCUUUUCUCGAAUUCCUUCAAAUCAUCACUCAACGUCGGGUUUUCACCUACACAAUAAAAACAACUAAAUUAGAUAAUAAAUCGCUAAUGAAACUCACAAAUAUCUAUGUUUAAUGGCCCGAAUAAGUGCAAAACCCCACACUUAUCAAUUGUUACAAGGUCUUCCUCUAUUUAUGUUUGAGUAGAUUGGAAUUAUACUUCUCCACGCUAAUCCCAUGAUCCAAUUUUCGAGACGGAUACGCCAGAUGGUAGUUUCUUACCAAGUCAGAGUGGUAGCUUGUUCACUCUUGUCGGUAUCGUCGAGACUAGUUCACAUAUUUUCAAUAGCAGCACCAUUUCUGAUCAGGUUUGAAAUCAUUUUUGGGAUAUAUUUCAUGAAAUCCAGCUAAGGAGUUAGAUCCUAAUUCUUGCGAUGGAAUUACUCGGGUCAGUAUAAAGGCUACUUUUGCACUAUCAUCUCCCUACUUAUAGUUUGGUUCUUAUGGCUUGCAAGGAAUGACGCGAAGCACAAUGACAUACACAUGGAGCCUAAAGGGAUAAUUUGGAAAGUCUAUCAUGAGCAUUCAUUUCUUCAUAUGGUGCUUAGUUAAGACUAGGAUGGACGUUAUAUUGGGGCCUUCUCAUCAUCUUAUGAAGACUGUCUUGUCUUGGAGGUUGAGUUACUCACUAUCUUAGAGGGAUUUCACUUGCUCGACCACUUGAUUUAUCAGACAUUAGGGUAGAGACAGACUCAUUGCAUCACUAAGAGUGGAAAACCAUGGGCAAUUCAGAUCAUUAUCAAAUGGAUUAGACAUCUUCUCUCAUUUGAUCAUGAUACUUGAAAGGGGGCCAAAAAACCCACACAAUAAGUUGCAAGAUACAAUCGAUCACAAUAACAGAAAUUAAACUUGCAGAAAGUAAAGAACACAACAA
rnacentral:lncRNA from 1 species